rnacentral:rRNA from 1 species
UACGGGGGGGGCAAGCGUUGUUCGGAAUUACUGGGCGUAAAGAGCUCGUAGGCGGCUUGUCGCGUCGAAUGUGAAAACUCGGGGCUCAACUCCGAGCUUGCAUUCGAUACGGGCAGGCUAGAGUUCGGUAGGGGAGACUGGAAUUCCUGGUGUAGCGGUGAAAUGCGCAGAUAUCAGGAGGAACACCGGUGGCGAAGGCGGGUCUCUGGGCCGAUACUGACGCUGAGGAGCGAAAGCGUGGGGAGCGAACAGG